rnacentral:lncRNA from 1 species
UUAGCAUAUAGUGCCAACAGUGAAACUACUUCGUGGAACAAUUAGAAUUUCACAUGUGUAACUUAAGUAUUUAAGUACAUCAUCUAAACACUCUUUUAAGAAAAAAAAUGUUUGAUAAAAAAAUAUAUCUAUUUUUAAAUUGUUACUAGGGUCAUUUAGGUGAUUAUUGAUAUAAAAAAAAAAGAAUGGAAGAAUUUAUGCUGAUUGGAGUGAUGGUCAAAGGUGGCGUCAGGUGGUCAGAGGUGGUGGUCGUUGGUGGUGGCCGGUGGUCGUUGGGCUGACAGUAAUGGUGACCGGUGGUCGGAGAUGGUGGUGGCCGUUGGUGGAGGAUGUGGUGACUGGAAAUGGUGACCGGUGGCCGCGGG